rnacentral:rRNA from 1 species
GCAGUCGAGCGGUAGAGAGAAGCUUGCUUCUCUUGAGAGCGGCGGACGGGUGAGUAAUGCCUAGGAAUCUGCCUGGUAGUGGGGGAUAACGUUCGGAAACGGACGCUAAUACCGCAUACGUCCUACGGGAGAAAGCAGGGGACCUUCGGGCCUUGCGCUAUCAGAUGAGCCUAGGUCGGAUUAGCUAGUUGGUGGGGUAAUGGCUCACCAAGGCGACGAUCCGUAACUGGUCUGAGAGGAUGAUCAGUCACACUGGAACUGAGACACGGUCCAGACUCCUACGGGAGGCAGCAGUGGGGAAUAUUGGACAAUGGGCGAAAGCCUGAUCCAGCCAUGCCGCGUGUGUGAAGAAGGUCUUCGGAUUGUAAAGCACUUUAAGUUGGGAGGAAGGGUUGUAGAUUAAUACUCUGCAAUUUUGACGUUACCGACAGAAUAAGCACCGGCUAACUCUGUGCCAGCAGCCGCGGUAAUACAGAGGGUGCAAGCGUUAAUCGGAAUUACUGGGCGUAAAGCGCGCGUAGGUGGUUUGUUAAGUUGGAUGUGAAAUCCCCGGGCUCAACCUGGGAACUGCAUUCAAAACUGACUGACUAGAGUAUGGUAGAGGGUGGUGGAAUUUCCUGUGUAGCGGUGAAAUGCGUAGAUAUAGGAAGGAACACCAGUGGCGAAGGCGACCACCUGGACUAAUACUGACACUGAGGUGCGAAAGCGUGGGGAGCAAACAGGAUUAGAUACCCUGGUAGUCCACGCCGUAAACGAUGUCA